CUUUCACAAUCAAAAAUUGCACAAGAAAAAGAGGAUUUUGAUCAGGAACUUGAAAAGGCUAAUAAAUAUCUACAAAGCACUGAAUGCCUGAACAACAAACUUAAAUUGGAAAACAAAGCUGUGCACCAGAAGCUUGAGCGAGCACUGGAAGAAGAAAAACACUGGGCCAGAAGAAGAGAUGAGAUGGAGGCAAAAAUAGCCAAGGAAAGUAAUGCAAAGGAACUGGCAUCUCUAGAGCAAAAAUUGAAGGCAGAAAAUAAGAUGAG